AUGAAGAUGCCUUUAAUAGAUUCAUUGAUGAGAUCAAUUCUAUUGCUGCAUAUGAUUGGUGGGAAGGCUCUGUUCACAGUAUUCUUUUAGUGCUUGCUUAUCCUUGUGCUUGGUCAUGGAAACAAUGGCGUCGUAGAAUUAAAAUCCAACUUCUGUAGGAUUAUGUCAAGUCUGAAUAUAACCAUUCGUGUCUACGCUCUUGCUGAGCAAGGGCAUUGCACAAAGGAAUGAAGGUUGGAGGAACACCUGAUUUAAUGGUUGCAUAUAUUGAUUUCUUUCUUAGUGGUGACGAAAAUCGUGUAGAUAUUGUGUCAAUCAUACAAAAGAGGUUUCCCUUGUGCAUAAUUUUUGGUGGCAAUGGCUGUUAUAUGUCUCCGUAUAGUCUUCAUAGUGAUGCACUGUAGACCAAUCUGAUGGCUCAGCAUGUCCCAACUUCUGUAUGGAGUCAUUUGGUGGCUGGCCUGAAUGCUCAGUUGAGGACAGUCCAGCAUGGAUUCAUGCCACACUGGGAUCUCUGGAAUUCAAAGGGACAUUUUCUUUCUAUUUUCUCUGUUUCUGCGCAACACUAGGCCAGUUGGUUGCCAGGAUACUUUGCAGCUGCUCAUCUUGAUCAUCAUUUUGGCUUACCUUUCUGUCACCUGCCUUACGCUUGUACACUUUUACUGGAUUUCUCUAGGGAGUUUUCUUGCUAUCUUGCUUAUUCGUCCUUUAUCUCUGUUGUCCCCCUUUCCUGCGGGCUUGAAUGCACUAUUCAACGAAGGACAUAGGAGGGCUUUUCUGACACGAAUGUAUGCAUUGUGGAACGCUACAUCUUUGUCAAGCAUUGUCAGUUAGGGCUUAAGCCUAACUUAGAGUAAAUGUAAAUUGAAGGUACUAACGUUUGCCAAAAGUUGCACAUAAGGUAUCAACGUUUCAAAAGUUGCACAAAGGGUACUGAACUUGUUAUAGGAGGUAAACAAUCCGGUGAAAACUUGUUAAAACGGUUGGAACAAGUUUUUGGUUUAUCAAAAAAAGGAAAAAUAAUUAAAUAGGAACACGUGUGCUUCAGGAAGGAAAAAAAAAGGCUAAUUUGUACAUUGGGAAACAAAAAACAUCAUUACCUUUCACCUUUCUCCCUCUUCAACACACUAACUCUUCCAAGCACCCAGAAAUCACGAAAAUGGUGGCAGCUUCAAUUUCAACCUAUUUUACUUGUUCUUCAAUUGCUUCUAUGAAAACUAAAACCUUCCCAUUUCCAUUACUCUCCCAAAGAUGCAAGGUGGACAAGAUGGCUAUAUGAGUAUAUAUGGAAGUCAGUUUUUUUGGAGUUGUACCAGCUAUAAUUUAACUGAUAGAUAUCUUGAACAAUUGCAAACUUCAGUCCCCUCUUUAUUAAUGUCAGAAUUUUAUUUUUCAUUUUUUUUUUGUUUGGUUAACCUGUUGUAGAAGGUCAAUUAUAUGGUGAGUACUCUAUCUGCAACUUUUGAAACGUUAGUAUCUUAUUUGCAACUUUUGGCAAACGUUAGCACCUUUAAUUUGUAUUUACUCGCCCAACUUAUAAUGAAACUAUUGAGAUUUUUUCUUUC